rnacentral:rRNA from 1 species
AUUGAACGCUGGCGGCAGGCCUAACACAUGCAAGUCGAGCGGGGUUUUCGGACCUAGCGGCGGACGGGUGAGUAAUGCGUAGGAAGCUACCCGAUAGAGGGGGAUACCAGUUGGAAACGACUGUUAAUACCGCAUAAUGUCUACGGGCCAAAGUGUGGGACCUUCGGGCCACAUGCUAUCGGAUGCGCCUACGUGGGAUUAGCUAGUUGGUGAGGUAAUGGCUCACCAAGGCGACGAUCCCUAGCUGGUUUGAGAGGAUGAUCAGCCACACUGGAACUGAGACACGGUCCAGACUCCUACGGGAGGCAGCAGUGGGGAAUAUUGGACAAUGGGCGCAAGCCUGAUCCAGCCAUGCCGCGUGUGUGAAGAAGGCCUUCGGGUUGUAAAGCACUUUCAGUAGGGAGGAAGCGUUGAGUGUUAAUAGUACUCAGCGUUGACGUUACCUACAGAAGAAGCACCGGCUAACUCUGUGCCAGCAGCCGCGGUAAUACAGAGGGUG